ACUUCCGCUCCCGGGAGAGUCAGGACUCCCAGCCCAGGAUAUUGGGGGUUGAGCUUCCUGGGUCAGACGCUGCUACCUGCAUUGUGAUCUGGGAGCCCAGACUGAGCAGCUGCUGCUCCCCCGGUAGGAUUUAGGCUUGGGAGUGCCUUGUAGUGAAGAUUCCUCUGUGCCCAGGCAAGGCUGCAGCUCAUCCAUGUUUUCUGCCAGACCCUUUCAUCCUUCCAGGGACCAGAGAAGGAAAAUGGCUGCAGUGAAGCCAUUUGAGCUGCAAAUUUUUCAACCAUCCCUCCUCCAUCCCAAAGGCUAGCACA